CCCUUGGGAAGUCCUCGUAUUGCAUCCCU
rnacentral:rRNA from 1 species